rnacentral:rRNA from 1 species
AUUGAACGCUGGCGGCAGGCCUAACACAUGCAAGUCGAGCGAGGGGCGGACGGGAGAGUAAUGUAUGGGGAUGCGCGUGAGGGCGGGGGAUAACCAGGGGAAACGGUAGCAAAUACCGCAUACCCUCAGAAGAACACAUAUGGGAUUAGCGUGUAGGUAAGGUAACGGCUUACCUAGGCGAAGAUCCCUAGCUGGUCUGAGGGGAUGAACAGCCACACUGGGACUGAGACACGGCCCAGACUCCUACGGGAGGCAGCAGUGGGGAAUAUUGCACAAUGGGCGCAAGCCUGAUGCAGCCAUGCCGCGUGUAUGAAGAAGGCCUUCGGGUUGUAAAGUACUUUCAGUCGGGAGGCGUUACCGACAGAAGAAGCACCGGCUAACUCCGUGCCAGCCGCCGCGGUAAUUC